UCCUACGGGGGGCAGCAGUCGGGAAUUUUGGGCAAUGGGCGAAAGCCUGACCCAGCAACGCCGCGUGAAGGAUGAAGUUUUUCGGAAUGUAAACUUCGUAAGAAUAGGAAGAAUAAAUGACGGUACUAUUUGUAAGGUCCGGCUAACUACGUGCCAGCAGCCGCGGUAAUACGUAGGGACCAAGCGUUGUUCGGAUUUACUGGGCGUAAAGGGCGCGUAGGCGGCAAUUCAAGUCAGCUGUGAAAUCUCCGGGCUUAACUCGGAACGGUCAGCUGAUACUGUUUUGCUAGAGUGUAGAAGGGGCAAUCGGAAUUCUUGGUGUAGCGGUGAAAUGCGUAGAUAUCAAGAGGAACACCAGAGGUGAAGACGGGUUGCUGGGCUGACACUGACGCUGAGGCGCGAAAGCUAGGGUAGCAAACGGGAUUAGAUACCCUGGUAGUCCG
rnacentral:rRNA from 1 species